UGCUCUGUGUGCUUUUGCACAGACGAACCUAUUUUCAGAGUACCUGUGAGUGCAGUGUGCAUGGGAGGUACCCGAGGAGCUUGAAGAGGGGAGCCUGAGUCACGCCUUUCUCCUUCUGUUUCUGCACUGUUACCCUUCAGCGCAUGGGAAGGAGUGGGACAGCCUGCGCUAUUUUAAGGAGUGGAAGAGCACGUACAUUUCCAAGAAAUUCGUAUCACGUCAGUCUCUCAUGUCAGAGGCUGGUCUGUGCUUUGUGAUCUCGUCUGACCAUCUGGAUGAACACCUCCGUGGUGUGCUCCAGUCCCGGGCUAUCAAACAGCUCCGCUCUGCAGAUUUCAGAAAACAGAUCCUCGCUCGUCAAACUUGAGAUCAGCUGUUGGGCUCAAUGAAUUGGGAUGCAUCUUCUGUGAGUUAAAUUAAUAAAUCCCUCAAUAGUUGGGAGAAAAUGCUUGAAAGAGGAAUAAUCUAGUAAGUGUUGCAUUGAUCUGAAUUAUGUAAAUUCCGCCUGUUCAAAGGGCUGCUCAAUUCAGCUCAUCUGUUUAAAU
rnacentral:lncRNA from 1 species